rnacentral:miRNA from 1 species
GUCCUUCCAGUCGACGAGGUACCUGUACCUCGUCGACCGGAAGGGUGUCCUUCCAGUCGACGAGGUACUUGUACCUCGUCGACCGGAAGGGC